CUUUUGCGAAGCGCGUGAGCGAUGGUAGUGGAUAUCCUUUUUGUCUUUGGGUGCGCUCUAUCGGAUAGACAAAUGGUGGAGACAAAAAGAUAGUAACGGACAGCGCGACCUGAG
rnacentral:sRNA from 1 species